AUUGAACGCUGGCGGCAGGCUUAACACAUGCAAGUCGAGCGGGGAAAGGUAGCUUGCUACCUGACCUAGCGGCGGACGGGUGAGUAAUGCUUAGGAAUCUGCCUAUUAGUGGGGGACAACAUCUCGAAAGGGAUGCUAAUACCGCAUACGUCCUACGGGAGAAAGCAGGGGACCUUCGGGCCUUGCGCUAAUAGAUGAGCCUAAGUAGGAGUAGCUAGUUGGUGGGGUAAAGGCCUACCACGGCGACGAUCUGUAGCGGGUCUGAGAGGGUGAUCCGCCACACUGGGACUGGACAACGGCCCAGACGCCUACGGGCGGCAGCAGUGGGGAAUAUUGGACAAUGGGGGGAACCCUGAUCCAGCCAUGCCGCGUGUGUGAAGAAGGCCGUUUGGUUGUAAAGCACUUUAAGCGAGGAGGAGGCUACCGAGAUUAAUACUCUUGGAUAGUGGACGUUACUCGCAGAAUACGCACCGGCUAACUCUGUGCCAGCCGCCGCCGUAAAAC
rnacentral:rRNA from 1 species